UUUAGUUUAUUCACAUGUGCCCUUUCAUUAGGUGUUUUCCUUAUUAGGUUAUUCUUUUGUGUUUUUGUGCUCUUUUUACAUCUAGAGUUACUUCCUGUUAGAUUUCUGUUAGAUACUUCCCUGUGUUUCUUUGUGUGUUUCAACUCAACUCUGUUCUAGUUAAUUAGUCUACCUCUAUCAGCUGCUCUACCUUUCUGUCUGCCUCAGCUGCAACUCAUUGCCUCUAAUUAGCUCAUCUGGUUUGCCUGUCUUUUUCUCCACCCUGCCUCACUGGUUCUCUUUGCUCUCUACUGGAUUCUUCUGUUUUCCUGACUGUUGUCUGGUCUUUCCAUACUUUUCGACUUUCUUUGCUUCAUGUCCGUUUACUGCAAGCAAGACCAUAUUGUGGUCUGACCUGCGAGUCGCCUCUCCCGGACAUUCCUCCACAGCAGAUCCCAAGCCUUGGACGUGGAGUCCCGCAACUGCUCACUGAUCGACCGCCGCAGCUGUAGCUUACUGCGCGCCCCGGCUGCUCCUGCCGCAGUGACCGUCACCGCUUCACCUGGUCCAGGCUACAGCUCCGCGCUGCGUCACCUCCCUGCACCCGCAGAAAAGGUUCCUUUGGCCAACAAAAACCCCAGAAUUUU